CCUACGGGUGGCAGCAGUGAGGAAUAUUGGUCAAUGGGCGAGAGCCUGAACCAGACAAUGCGCGUGAGGGAGUACUGCCCUAUGGGUUGUAAACCUCUUUUGUCGGGGAGCGAAAGCCGGACGUGUCCGGCGGUGAGAGGAGCCGAAGGAAAAGCAUCGGCUAACGCCGUGCCAGCAGCCGCGGUAAUACGGAGGAUGCGAGCGUUAGCCGGAUUUAUUGGGUUUAAAGGGUGCCUAGGCGGAUUGUUAAGUCAGCGGUCAAAUCGUGGGGCUCAACCCCAUCCAGCCGUUGAAACUGGUGAUCUAGAGUGUGCGAGAGGUAUGCGGAAUGCGUGGUGUAGCGGUGAAAUGCAUAGAUAUCACGCAGAACCCCGAUUGCGAAGGCAGCAUACCGGUGCACAACUGACGCUCAGGCACGAAAGCGUGGGUAUCGAACAGGAUUAGAUACCCGGGUAGUC
rnacentral:rRNA from 1 species